GAUGAAGAACGUAGUGAAAUGCGAUAAGUAAUGUGAAUUGCAGAAUUCAGUGAAUCAUCGAAUCUUUGAACGCAUCUUGCGCUCCUUGGUAUUCCGAGGAGCAUGCCUGUUUGAGUGUCAUUAAAUUCUCAACUACACUGAUUUUUUUUUUUUGGUUGGUGUAGAUUGGAUUUGGGGGGAUUUUUUGCGGGCUUUGUAAAAUGAAGUCAGCUCCCCUGAAAUUGAUUAGCGGUACCUUUGUGGAACUGUCUACAGGUGUGAUAAUUAUCUACAUCUUAGACAUCUGCUGGAAUGCUGCUUUCUAAACCUUACUUGUAUUGACAAUCUUGACCUCAAAUCAGGUAGGACUACCCGCUGAACUUAAGCAUAUCAAUAAGCGGAGGA
rnacentral:misc_RNA from 1 species